GAAUUGAAGGCACUGACUGGGAUCUUGGGAAGUUCCAGAAACUACAAGUACUUCCAUGCGUAAGAGAUGAGGCUGGAAAGUAAGUGGACACCACCUGCUGGAAGCGUUCAUUCCAUCCUGAAGGCAGAGGAGCUGCUGAAGGAUAGAAGUUAGAGCGGUGCCUUGAUCAGCUUUACAUUGGGAUGAUAGAGGAGAUUAAGGUGUGGGCUGGAGGAGGCUCAGAGCACGGUAGUGAGAUUGGCCAAGGGACGUCAGGAUUUUGGCAGCACUGUGAUGGAAUUGUGAGGCUCUCUCCUCUUCACUGUUAGCUCCCAGGCCACCAACCUGAAUGCUCCCUACUAUUCUACAUUUCUUGUCCUCCUCUAGGUGACAGCUCCUCAGUGGGGAAAGUGAGUGUGCUGGGCUUGCUACAUGAAGAGCUUCAUGGACCAGGCCCUGUAGGAGCUCUCAGCAGCCUUGCUCAGACUGAGGUGACCCUGGGCGGUACCACGGGCCAGGCCUCGGCCCACAUCCUGUGUCGGAGGCCCCGACAGCGCCCAACUGACCAGACUCAGUGGUUCUCCAUCCUUCCGGACUUCAGCCUGGAUCUCCAAGAGGGGCUCUCUGUAGAGUCCCAGCCCUACUCCGAUCCUCAUAUACCCCCGGUGGAUCCCACAACUCAUUUGACCUUUAACCUUCACCUGUCCAAGAAAGAGAGAGAAGCCAGAGAUAGCCUGAUCCUGCCCUUCCAGUUCAGUUCUGAAAAGUAAGGUUGGGACCUGGGUACGUGGAUCCCUGAGUAGAGCCCAGCAUCUGGGCCGUGGAGAGGUGGGGCAACAGGUUAUUGAUUAACCUGACUUUAUAGGGACUGAAGUCCACCUCCAGAGACAAGUCCAAGUUCUUGAUCCACCCAUUCCCCCUAUAAUGGCAGAGGACCUUUAUGUCUCUUUUCUCUCCCUUAGACCCUUGGGUCACAGCUCCAGUUGUCCCCAGAGCACCCUGGGCCUGGGCUGAGCCAGACCAGACCCUUGGGAGGUGGCGCUAUCCCUAGGCAGUGGUGCUAGGAGGACAGAAGGCUAUAUGGGCGUGGCAAAGGCUGGUUAACAAGGGCUUAGUACAUGCCUGCUGUUCUGUGCCCAGUAUGUGGGCGGAUGAAGCAAGACUACAAGAUCCUUGCCCUCAAG
rnacentral:lncRNA from 1 species